GCGAUGAUGACUUUUGUGUUUUGAAAGUAAUGAAAAAUCAUUCAUCAAUCCUCUAAGAAGUUCUGAGCUC